UUUUCCAAAUUCUUCAGUCCCUAAACUUAUCUCAAGUCCAACUCCUUUGGUGAAACCUUUACAUUUUACUAUCACAUACCUUUAGUCUGUCUUAGUCUAAGUUUUGAGAGAGACCCCAUCUGUACAAAUACCAGAAAUAAUAAGAGAAAUUCAAAUAUGUGCAUACUUCCAAGUGCUACUAGCAACAAGCCAGGUACUCUCCUCAGCAGGAAUCCUUUUUUAUUUUUCUUUAAUUUUUUCCUUGAGGAGGUGAUUAUGCUCUAUAACCCCUUAACUGACCUCCAUGUGAGUUUAUUCUACAUAUUUUAAGUGCUUGCUAAUUGAAGGUCCUUUCAAGCACUGAUGCACACAGAGAUGAAUAUGAAUAUCCUUAAAUGGUUUAUCAUUUUCCUGUCCAAAUAGGUUUCUCCUUAGUAGAGAACACAUCUUUGCUACUGUGUACCCAUUUUCUGUUAAAUGAAAAAUUGAGAAGAUGUCCUUGUUCAUUUAGCUAUGAAAAUAUUAGUAUAAUAAUUUGGUUUUACCCUAGCUAUAUCAUACUAAACGUACUUAACACUAUUUGAUGCUUUUAAAAUAAUUCUCUGUCUUUCAAAUUACUCUUAGUAUCUAGUGUCUCUAGCUUGCAUUUUGGCAUUUUAUUCAGUUUAGCACCUUAUACAUAUUUCUGGAUAUUGAGAUUUUGGAGGAUAAUAUCCAUAGUUCUCGUUAUGUAUCUCAGCCCAAUAUCAAACAUGAUAAACGUUUGCUGAAUGAGUAAAUAUCAUAUCAUAGAUGUAAGUCUUCGCCAAAAGGUUAUUGAGAGACCAUGUGAAGCAUAACAGUCAUGUAGUCUUUAAUUUCCCAAUCAUACUGAUUCAGUGUUUUAUACGUGGUAGGUACUGAAUAUAUUCCUGUUAACUUGAAAUUUGAGAAGUAAUAAUGGGUUAUUCCCAUAAACCUACUUAAUGUCUACCUGUUUAAAAUGGAAAAUGAAUUAAUCUUGUAAUUUUAAGGGUUAUUAAAUUUACCAAAAUUCUUUCUUAUAAAAUGUACAUAAUUUCCCAUGACCAUUACUCUCUUAAUUGGUAAUUUUUCUUACUAGUAAAAAGAGAAAAAGACACAGAGAAGUACAUGUUAUCUGCUUAAAUAUUCUUUUAGGAAAAUUAAUAAAAAUGAUGGCCUUGAAAAAAAAAUUGUCUUUCAAGAGAAAUAUUUAGGGGAAAAGAACCAAGUAUAUAGUGGGGAAGGAGGCAGUCCUUGUUUAUUGAAGGUUGGUUAUUGAAAUAGUCAAGUCUCUUCAUUGUUUUUCUUACCUGCUUCUAGCAUGUGUGAGAAAGGGAAAUAAAAUAUGACAAGAAGUCAGAGGAGUUAACUUUUUUUUUAUAUUGCCCCAUGUUAUUCUUCCACCAAUAGGUAGAAUUGAAAGAUCCCUAAUUCCAGAUAUGUAAUUCCAGCAAUUUUCCACUCAUUUACCAUGAGUAUUCAUAAAUCAGCCGAGCAAAUUCAAUUAUGCUGGCUGUUUAUUGCUCCAGGCCCACCUCAGACCAAGAGGAGAAAAAGAUAAACCUAUGGAGAAGUGGAUUACAGAGAGAUUGAAGUGUACUUAUUAAUUGCCAAGAAGUACAUAAAAGAGGUGUGGUGGAAGGGUCUGCCAGAACCAGAGGCUAAAUAAGCACACAACAGUAUAAAAUAUUAUUUACUCCAGCUUCCAGAAUUCCUCCUCUUCAACCUUUCCUGUUCAUUGGAAUAAUGAAGCCAUUACACAUGGUGUAAAGAAGUCCCAUCCAGAGGUUGAAGCUCCAUAGAAAACAAGGAGACAGGCUGGUAUAGAUCAAGUAGACCAUCUGCACUCAGUCCUUCCCAUGUUCACUCAAGGUUGGGAGGAGGGGCCAGAAUUUAAGUUGAAUUUGUACUGUAGCAGAUAUGUGAUUGUGACAAUCUUCCAAUGAAUAUUUGUUAGUAUUUUUUUUUUAAAUCACAUGUUAAAGUAUGUGAGUGUCAAAUUGACUUCCACUUGAAGUCAUCAACAUUUAUUUCUUGAAGCCAUUGGAAGGGACAGAGAGGAAAGCCACACUUCACAGAGGGUACUGUGCAUUUGUGAAAGCUUGGGGUAAUAAAACAUUUUGUAUUUUUAUUCCAAAGUAAGCACAGUGUACUAAAUGAGCAGAUUUAGAUAAAUGGCUAGUGAUGUUGCCAAAAAGCUUCCACAUAUAUGUGUUUAUAGGAGCUUUCCCUCUGGGUUUAAUAAAAUUCUAACCACAAAAAUUAAAGGAUGUAAUGAAAAGCCCAGAGAACUACUCCCUGGUGUUUCCCUUUCCCCCUGCCCUCCCUCCACCCUGGCCAGAAUUCAGUGCAGAAAGAAAAGAUCAGGUCAACAGUAUGUUGUUGCCUCUUUAGACUGAAUCAGAGCGUGGUUUUGGGGAUCUCCCACAACUCGACACUAAAACAGCUCUUCGCUAUCCCCACCCACAUCAUCCCAUAACUUUUGAUCAAAUAUCUUGAGAAUUAGCCAACGUUGUUUAAUUGAAUAAGCAAAAACUUAAAUAUGGUAGUGUACCUUCAUUUUCAAUUUGUCUCUAUCUUUUCUUAGUGUUGCAUAAAGACCCAAAGUUGCUUUUGCUUCUUCACCCCCACCGUAACUGGUGAUUUUGGGGUCUACAGUACUCCAUAGCACACCAUAAAUCUCCACUAGAUGUCAGUGUGUCACCAAAUGAAACUGGUUCAGCACUUCCAGGCCUGUGCUUGAAACAAAUUGGAAGGUGAACUCAUGAUACAGAUCAGUUUUAAUAUACAGGUCAAGAAUAAGUUGUACUUAUCCUAAUGAAUAUUAAUAAAAAAAUAAUCUUAUUUUAAAAAUCCAGUACAUUUCAUUGGAGGGAUUUCACAAUGCCUUACUUGUAUUCUGGUUUUUGCCAUAAUACCCCAAAGACAAUGCAGAUACUCAUUUUGCAGUAGAGUGACCUGAAGUGCAAAGGGACAAAAUGAUUGGCUCAGGAUCACACAGUUGACCCCUGAGGAAGCAGGCUGGUAUUUCUGCAAUUACAGGACCUACUCUACCUAAAUAGUGCUGUUUCUCCUUUGGCCUGGGUAGUAUAGUUAAUGUAGAUUCCCUUGUCUGUCAUUUGUAUUAACUAUCUUGCCUAUAACACAAACUCAAGAGGAGUGGAAUAAUAAGAACCAUAGAGAUUAUCAGUUAAAUUAGUAUGAAGAUGUUUAAGAUAAAAUUUAAGAUUUUAUAAAGAUUACUCAAAGAUGAUGUGUUGAACAACCAAAAUUAUAACAACUAUAUUGUACAUGUACCAUUUUAGAGGUGGCAAACUUGGACUAAAGUGAACCUCAGUUUAGUUCCUGUACUCAAGUGGAGAAGGAAAGAAAGGCAGUUGUAAUUUGGUUUUGAAGGCUGAAGCUCUUGGAUAUUUGGGGAUUAUGGGGUAUAUUGCGUGUUGUAGGUUUUACACUGUAUACUUUCCUUAAAGAGGAGUUAAGGAUAUUAUAUUAGGAUAUAAAUAGUGUAUAUUAGGAUUUAAAUAGUGAUUUUCCCAAAAUUGUGUAAAUAAACAGGUUACAACUAUUUGAAAGUUAUUUUUGUGGGUAAGGAUUAAGUGACUACAAAAAAGAUGUUAGUGUCCUGGGAUUAUGGGUAAAUUUAGUCUCCUCUAUGUGAUAAUACUGUUUAUAAUAAAAAGGGUCUUAAAUAAUACAUUGAGAUAAUGAACAAUAAUAAGGUAAUAAUGAAAAAGUAAAAUAAAUAAUAAAUUUUAAAAAUGGUUUCUCCAUUGUCCAGCUUGUAAAAAUUUGUCAUAAUCUCAACUGUAGAAAGACUCGUUUCAUAUCAGUGAGACACAUUGUAAACAAUUGAAAUUCAGGAAGGUUUGGUUUGGUUUGUUUAUUUCAACUGUCUCAGUUAAAUCAUAGAAAUCAAGCUUAAGCUGGCAGAAGUACAGGGUCCUAUUUUCAAACUUUACUGUGAAUUUUAAGUGAAAAAUUAUUGUCCAUAUCCCAGCAGGCUGUUUGCUGUAGUAUUUAGUACAUUGUCAAUGUUAAGUAUACCUAGGGCAUAGGUAUCAGAUGAAGAAGUAUUUAGUAAAUGUAGCUCUCCUCAGAUUGUUUUCAUUUUAAAUAGGGCAAGAUUAAGAGAGUAAUCAGUAGAGUUCAAGAGAUCUUCAAAAUUAUUGAUUUUGCAUGCAUGGAUCUGUUUUGAUUCAGAACUUAUAUAUAUAUCAAAUCACAUGGAUCAAAGUGAGUUAUAAAAUUGUACUUCACAUAUGAAAGAAAAACUGUGCUUUUAUGAUAUGUCUCAUUUCAAGUAAUAACAGUGUAACCACCAUUAAAUUAUAUGUAAAAACUUCACAGACAAUAAUAAAACUUAAUUGAUUCGUGAUUAUCAAUUAGAGAAGUAGGGCAUAGAUAUCAGAAUUACCUAGAAAACUUUUUAAAACCUGUAUGUUUCUUUGCCACCAUCUCCAUCCUAUAAUCAAGAUAUUUGGAAACCUGGAUUUCCAGAUUUGGCAGUGGGGUGGGUGGAUGGAGUCGGCAAUAGUGUGCAAUUCCAAGACUCAGGGUGAAGCAAAGUACUGGUGUAUAUAAAACUUUCAAAAUCACCCCACCCACUAGGUGUAUACUCAGUUUAAGUUCAUUCUUGGACUCCUGGAGCCACUAAAUGUUUACUAGCCUAAAA